rnacentral:rRNA from 1 species
GCCUAGCCAUAAACAUAGAUGGUACAAACACAACACCAUCCGCCAGAGAACUACAGGCGAAAAGCCAAAAACUCCAAGGACUUGGCGGUGCUUCAAAUCACCCUAGAGGAGCCUGUCCUAUAAUCGAUACUCCCCGCUAAACCUCACCCCUCCUGGCCAAACCAGCCUAUAUACCGCCGUCGAAAGCCUACCUUAUGAAAGAAAUACAGUAAGCACAACAGUUAACAACUAACACGUCAGGUCAAGGUGUAGCACACGGGGGGGCAGAGAUGGGCUACAUUUUCAAAACAACAUACGAACAGCACGCUGAAACACAUGCUUAAAGGUGGAUUUAGUAGUAAAACAAACAAGAGUGUUUGUUUUAAACCCGCUCUGAAGCGCGCACACACCGCCCGU